GGGGGGAGCACGGACUCAUACACGUCUGAAUAUGCACAUCUGUUUACACGUGCACAUUGUGCAGCUGUGAGUACCAAAGAUGAAGAAAAAAAGCAGUGGGAGGGUUGACCACAAUGGCGUGGGGGUUAAGUUUAUUUGUACACAAAAAUGGUGUAUGUGCAGGCGGUGGACCACCCAGCUUGAUCUUGUAUCAGUUAACACCGACACCCCGCCCUCAUACCCUCUCACACUCACACGGCAGAGCAGGAAGCUGACUCGCGCCUGACACUUUUCUCUCUUUUUUCUCCUCUUCUUUCCCUCUCCGCUGCCUUUGCUGUCACAAGAUUUAUUGCAUUCCUCCGGCAGAGCAUUUCUUAAAUUACAGGUUUGAAGUUCCUGAGUCACGAAGAAAGAGGACGAGGAAGGGGAUGGCUGUCUGUGGGGGGGGGACUUUAGUGUAUGUCUGUGAUUUAGGGUCCUCUGUUUCUUAUUGUGUCUGUGGCCUUGCAGGAGUCAUGUAGACUGUCUCUUGUGGCCUGAUUAUGUGAUGUUUCUGUGUGAGUGCGUGUACGUGUGCGUGAGUGACUGAGAGAUUAUAAUGUCAUGUUGUCUACCUCCUCUUUUAUUGACUUGAUGGCUAUUUUGUGUGGUUGUUAUUUACGUAAUCAUAUAAUUUGUCUUUCAUCUGGUCAUUUGGAUGAUAUACUCUUUCUAGACUUGUAUCACAAUAAUUUAACGGGACAUAAAGUCUAUUUAAAUGUUCCUUUUGAAACUACACCAUGCUUUCCUAACGUCCUUUUACGUAAAGCACAUUACUUAAAUCGUGUUUUUCUUGUUUUCUACAUAUUCAUAUGGCUUUUUUCUGAUGCUACAGGACAUAUCAUGAGAAAACUAAAUGCGAAAUUGCUUUUUUGAGUAUUUCUUCGUUCAAAUCUCGGUGAAUCUCUGGCAGACCCAAACGCCAGGUUCAGAAACAUUGAGAUUUUAUACGUAACUAAUCCAUGUUCCACCCCCAGAGCCCUGCUAUGAAGACCACACUCUGCAUAUAGAGGAAAAAAUACAGAGGACGAUCACAGAACAAGCGUGUGCGUUAGCAGACUGCUAAUGAGCUACUGGGAUUGAAAAUGACACAGGUAAUGUGAUUUUGGCUAAAAAUUUCAUAAUCAAAACAAUUUCAAGAUCACCGAGAACACUUUAAGUAGUAAAAAAAAAACAUCGGAGUCGGACUUUAAGAUCAUAACAUUUCAAAACUGAAAUAUUAAGUAUAUUGUUAAAUUAAAUUAAAUUUGAAUUUCUCUUAGGCCGUGUUCACACCUAAAGGUCAGUUUCCUGAUUCGAAUCCAAGGCAAGACGAUACAUUUGUUUUGAUUGUUGAACUGGUCCGGUCUGUGUUCAAAAAGGACAAACUCAAUCGCCCCAGAAAACGGAACCAGAACCGCGAAUAUCGUUUGGUUAUUGGUCAUUAGUUUAUGUGGGAAUACAAACCCCGCUCUGCUGUCUUCGUCCGUCAUGGAGCAUCGUAGGCUGAUUUUGCUUUUGCUACUCAUCUGGAGCACGUAUCAAAAGACACUAGUCGAUCACGCAUAUGAACGGCUCACACUUCAAUUAAUAUAUUCCGGAGUAGACGUGCUGCAAACAACAGACAGAUAAAGACGAGACGGCGACAGGCAUUAAUGACGUGUGUGGUGCGUUUCCUGUGAUUGGUGUGGAUGACGUUCACACCAGAAAUGAACCGCUUCAGAGUUCACUUGAUAACGGUCCGAGACCACCUCUUCAUGCGGACCAGAGUUCGAGGUCAGCAUUCACA
rnacentral:lncRNA from 1 species